UGAGGAAUAUUGGUCAAUGGGAGAGAUCCUGAACCAGCCAAGCCGCGUGAGGGAAGACGGCCCUAUGGGUUGUAAACCUCUUUUGUCGGAGAACAAAACCCGGGACGAGUCCCGGACUGCGUGUAUCCGAAGAAAAAGCAUCGGCU
rnacentral:rRNA from 1 species